rnacentral:lncRNA from 1 species
CUCAAUCUGAUUGGCCCUCGAGCUGUGGAUGUGCUGUCUGAGUUGUCCUAUGCCCCUAUGACUCCAGACCACUUCCCCAGCCUCUUUUGCAAGGAGAUGAGCGUGGGCUAUGCAAAUGGGAUCCGGGUGAUGAGCAUGACACACACAGGAGAGCCAGG